AGUGAACGCUGGCGGUAGGCCUAACACAUGCAAGUCGAACGGCAGCACAGAGGAGCUUGCUCCUUGGGUGGCGAGUGGCGGACGGGUGAGGAAUACAUCGGAAUCUACUCUGUCGUGGGGGAUAACGUAGGGAAACUUACGCUAAUAUCGCAUACGACCUACGGGUGAAAGCAGGGGAUCUUCGCACCUUGCGCGAUUGAAUGAGCCGAUGUCGGAUUAGCUAGUUGGCGGGGUAAAGGCCCACCAAGGCGACGAUCCGUAGCUUGUCUGAGAGGAUGAUCAGACACACUGGAACUGAGACACGGUCCAGACUCCUACGGGAGGCAGCAGUGGGGAAUAUUGGACAAUGGGCGCAAGCCUGAUCCAGCCAUACCGCGUGGGUGAAGAAGGCCUUCGGGUUGUAAAGCCCUUUUGUUGGGAAAGAAAUCCAUCUGGUUAAUACCCGGGUGGGAUGACGGUACCCAAAGAAUAAGCACCGGCUAACUUCGUGCCAGCAGCCGCGGUAA
rnacentral:rRNA from 1 species